AUUAGCUGCUGCACGGUGGUCUCCAAAGUGCGUGUGGUGAAUUUCAUGGUGAGAAGAGGAGGUUUGGUGCGAUGCCGGCAGCAGGACAUCAGAGAAGGCUGCAACAUAAACGCUGAAAUACUGGAGUGGAGACGCCGCCAAGUCUGUGUGGACCCGACGUCUCUCAAGAUGCAAAACCAACUGGCGAAUUUGUGCCGCAACAGAAAAGAAAAGGGAGUGAGACAUCACGGUCGCCCACACAGCAGGAACACAAAAAUCUGAUCGUACAGAAACUGUCGCCCACCACAGAUGGCUCAAUGUGGAAUGGAUGUAGAUGUUUUCAGUUGUCUGUUAUGCUCGUAGACAAAAGGACGUUCUUUAACGUACUAUAUGCUUCCUCCUGCUGUGUAGCACCAUCUGAAGUUUACUGGGUUAUACACAAGCUUAAAAUAUAUUAUUAUACUGCAUGUUCCAAUUCCCGAAAAUAUUAUAUACACUUUUUUCUCAUCUCAGCGUAUUCCUUUGCAUAAAUUACCCAAGUUAGUAUCUGCGUUGCUUGUAUUCAAAUCAAAUGUGUUCAUUUUCUGUUUUUCUGGGAUUAUUUCUUUAAUAUUUUUGUUAUAAUUUUCAGAACGAUAUUUUGAAUGAUGGGAAGAUUUGGAGCUCGUAUGAAAAAAGCUGCAGAAAAGACAAUAUUUUCUGCAUUUUAAUUUUUUUUCUUGUCUGGAAUCUUGUUCCAUAGAAGCAAAAUACAACCUGCAGAAUGUAAAGUGAAUCACGAGCUCUGACAUUUCCUCAUUGUUGUUCUCCAUGUUCCUUUGUUAUGUAAUUGAUGAUCUGGUUGAUUAACGUUACCACGCUGCAUGAUGACACUUCAGAUAAUUACUCAAUCUUGACCUUUCAGUGUAAAGCUGCCAAGUUUCUG